AGCGCUUGCAUGUGUGUUUGUUCGUCUGGUGGUCAAAGGCAGAUUAGAUUGGCGCAAAAAUAAAUCCUCUUUCGCAACCCAGAAUUCAUUGUCAGUAUGAGUUUUGACAAGGCAGGGAAGGAAUAGG